UGGGGAAUUUUGGACAAUGGGCGAAAGCCUGAUCCAGCCAUGCCGCGUGAGUGAAGAAGGCCUUCGGGUUGUAAAGCUCUUUCAGACGGAAAGAAAACUUCUGGGCUAAUACCCUGGGAGGAUGACGGUACCGUAAGAAGAAGCACCGGCUAACUACGUGCCAGCAGCCGCGGUAAUACGUAGGGUGCGAGCGUUAAUCGGAAUUACUGGGCGUAAAGCGUGCGCAGGCGGUGAUGUAAGACAGAUGUGAAAUCCCCGGGCUCAACCUGGGACCUGCAUUUGUGACUGUAUCGCUGGAGUGCGGCAGAGGGGGAUGGAAUUCCGCGUGUAGCAGUGAAAUGCGUAGAUAUGCGGAGGAACACCGAUGGCGAAGGCAGCCUCCUGGGCCAGUACUGACGCUCAUGCACGAAAGCGUGGGGAGCAAACA
rnacentral:rRNA from 1 species